CUACGGGAGGCUCCAGAGAGGAAUAUUGCACAAUGGGGGGAACCCUGAUGCAGCAACGCCGCGUGGAGGAUGACGCAUUUCGGUGUGUAAACUCCUUUUAUAUGUCAAGAAAAUGACGGUAGCAUAUGAAUAAGCACCGGCUAACUCCGUGCCAGCAGCCGCGGUAAUACGGAGGGUGCAAGCGUUACUCGGAAUCACUGGGCGUAAAGGACGCGUAGGCGGGUUGGAAAGUCAGGUGUGAAAUCCUACAGCUUAACUGUAGAACUGCACUUGAAACUUCUAAUCUAGAGUAUGGGAGGGGGAGAUGGAAUUAGUGGUGUAGGGGUAAAAUCCGUGGAUAUCACUAGGAAUACCUAAAGCGAAGGCGAUCUCCUGGAACAUUACUGACGCUAAGGCGUGAAAGCGUGGGGAGCAAACAGGAUUAGAUACCCUCGUAGUC
rnacentral:rRNA from 1 species